rnacentral:rRNA from 1 species
AUUGAACGCUGGCGGCAGGCCUAACACAUGCAAGUCGAACGGUAGCACAGAGAGCUUGCUCUCGGGUGACGAGUGGCGGACGGGUGAGUAAUGUCUGGGAAACUGCCUGAUGGAGGGGGAUAACUACUGGAAACGGUAGCUAAUACCGCAUAACGUCGCAAGACCAAAGAGGGGGACCUUCGGGCCUCUUGCCAUCAGAUGUGCCCAGAUGGGAUUAGCUAGUAGGUGGGGUAACGGCUCACCUAGGCGACGAUCCCUAGCUGGUCUGAGAGGAUGACCAGCCACACUGGAACUGAGAAACGGUUCAGACUCCUACGGGAGGCAGCAGUGGGGAAUAUUGCACAAUGGGCGCAAGCCUGAUGCAGCCAUGCCGCGUGUAUGAAGAAGGCCUUCGGGUUGUAAAGUACUUUCAGCGGGGAGGAAGGCGAUAAGGUUAAUAACCUUGUCGAUUGACGUUACCCGCAGAAGAAGCACCGGCUAACUCCGUGCCAGCCGCCGCCGUAA